UUCUUACUCCCUUCCACCCUUUCCUUCAUAUUAUAUAUCCCCAAAAUAUGCUUUUUAAUCAGAAUAAAUUAUGAUUCACCUUAAUUUCUUUGCAGGUUUACUUGCCCCUGCCAGCCACUUGUCAUAAUAUAGGUCUUUUUGGCAAAGCUCUAAAAGUAUGAGUUUCCAGAAGACAAGACUAGACAGCACAGUUUCUUAUUGAUCCAGGAAACUCUCAGAAUUACUGUCAUGGAAAUAAGUGACACCAGGUUGAAAACUGUGCACAGUGCUGUGACAAGGUUCUGUGGUGCUUCUGGCUUCAUUAAUGAGUGGAUCUACUUCAGUAAUGAUGCUGUGUCUGGCAAUGUGCUUCUGAAAGUUGGACAGAAAGUGACUGCACUUGUGGAUGAUGACAAAACAUCCCAUGAAUUGAAAGCAGUCAAAGUGUAUUCCUUCUGUGAUAAUUGCCAUGGUGAUGGACUGCCAUACACCCCUUCCAGAGUUUUAAUUGGUUGUGUUACCUCUGUAAUGGAAGGUGCUGGCUACAUUGAUCACACAAGUUACUUCUCUCUAGAGGUUGUGUGUAAUGGUAUGAUCUACACUUUUUAUUUAAAAUUAGGUUUUGCUUGUUUUUUAAAAUGUUAUAGCUUGGAUUUAGACAUGCUUACAGGAAUCAUUCUGAGAGUCAAAUUUGGAACAUGCUUAAUUUGUUGAGAGGGUUUUAGUACUAGAACUACUUCUCCAUUGUACUUACUUCCAAUCCAUGGGGCUCUUGAAUGUUUGAGCUGGGCCUUUGGAGUUGAAGAUGCUGUAAAGCAUAAGGUCAGAUAUGUAAUGUUUUUAAAAACAUAUGCUAUAAUUUUUCAUGUUCCUUUAUCAAAUACAGCCAUUAAUAUCUGUGUAAUUUCUCUGUUCAUACAGGUAUUGAAUUUCUAAUAUAACUAGAAAUAUUACCAUUAUACAGGGUACUAUUACUUUUAAAAUGAGGUUUGAAGUUAGCAUUGUACCUUUCAGUGUGUGUGUGUGUGUGCAUUGUUGAAUGCUAUUUGUAACUAACAGAUAUAACAUUUUGUUUUUUUUAUCCCUAAAGCAAUGGUGUGUUCAUUUGCCUAUGCUAUUUGUGUUGAAUUCAGCAACUGUUAUUGAGGUACCUGCUAUGUUCACGAUAGAGUGCUAGAUAUUGGAGAGACCAAGAUGAGUAAGACUUGAUCAAGCCCUGCCUGCAAAGAGCCAACAGAUGGUUUUAUCAUUGGCCCUUUCAAAUAGUCAUAUAAUAUGGUAAGAACAGCCUUGCUGGGCAGAGCAGAGAGAAUGGUUGAUGGCUAUGAGGAGAAUUGGGGAAGGCUGAGUCAAUGAAGCGCUCUCUGAGCUGGAUCCCAUCCCCCAGCUACCCCUGCAGAGCUAAAUUUUGAAGGAGGGAUAGAAGCAGAAACGUGGUGCCUGUUGUAGCCCAAUCAGCUGCCAUUUAACUUGGGACAAAAGGAAGUUAGCUCAGCCCCACCAGGAAUCUUGCUGUUUUACUUUUUGUGGAUGUAAAGGCCAGGACUUGAACUUAGUUGCCAACCCUGGUGUCCUCCAAAAUGACAUUGUCAGAUGGCCAGCUGGGAUUUUAAGACCUAUUUAGUCAGCAAUCCCCAAUUCUGGGAGAAGAGGCCCCAGUGAUUGCUUGGCUCCAAAGGAAUCUCUCAGUUCCUAUAACCACAUCAACAGGAAGGCAAUCAGUGGUAGCCCUUGCUAAGAGAAUUCUCACGAUGGGAGAGACUUGACUGUGUUUGUAAUGGCAAGGGAUUGAUUGAAGGUGCAGAAAUGGUCAGGAAUGAUUGAUGGAAGGAGAUUUGAAGUCAGUUCCAUCAGUGUGGCUCAUGGGAAAUGUUAACAUCGGUAAUAGGUCUCAGAUUGUUUCUUACAUGUGAAUAAACAAUAAAUUUUUAACCAUUUUGGUGGAGGAUGCUAAAAUGGAAUUGGGCGUUCCACUUAAAGAGUGGGGAGCUAUACCCAGUGCACAGUGUAGCUAUUUCUUUCCUUUUUAUUUUUCACUUGAAGCACUAGUAGAGUCCUGUUACAUCCUGCAUUUCCUUAGUUACCAGUGUGACCUGAGUUAGAAACUUAGAUAAGGUUAUUUCUUUAUUUUUUAGAAUAAACUGGCUUGAGUACCCCCUUGCAGGAUUAAUAGGAAGUCUAUGUAGUCUUAUCCCUUUUGAGACUUUCCCCUCAGGCUUGAGUUGGCCAACAAUCCAGCCUCUUACCCAGUCUGGAGGUGGCUGCCCGGUUUCAUUAUGCCUUUUUGGUGACCCUGAAUUCAUUAAAGGACCCUGCCCUAUGAUGGCUGUCAUUCUUUUGCUUGGAUGUAACCAAUGGGAAGCACAAGCAGGAGCCUGGAGGGGAACAAGGGCCAUAGCUUCUGUCCGGCUGCAUACAGCUGUAUCUGGGGUUUUGAACCUUCCCCAAGUGACUGGAUAGAAGCUGAGGUUUCCAUCCAUCUAUCCACCUACAGCAGAAAGGCAAUCUCCAUGAAGCCUCUGAGACAUAAGCACGUGCAUGAGGUCUUCAUCACUAGUUUCUGUGGAAGAAAUAGGGUGAUAGGUGAUAGUAUCUUUUUCACCUUGGAUUCUCUGAAACUUCCUGAUGGAUACAUACCUCAAAGAUCUGAUAUCAUCAAUGUGGUCAUGGUGGAGAGCAUGCAGUUGUGCUAUCUUUGGAGAGCGAUUCCUAUGACCCUAGUGAAAAGGCUGUAAGAAGAAAUCACUAUGUUUAUGCCUAUGCAGCAUUUCCUCUCUUGGCAGAAAAUGGCCUCAUUUAAAUGUGUUUUUUAAAAAAUAGCUUAGCAAACCUCAACAUUUUAUUUCAAAUACAACUUUUCAAAUCCUGGGUAGGUUGGCUAAGAGGAUGUAUCUUCUGGAAAGUGUUCAGCAGUUUUACAAUUGAUUAAAGAGAAUUUCAUCAUAA